GAGUUUGAUCGUGGCUCAGAUUGAACGCUGGCGGCAGGCCUAACACAUGCAAGUCGAGCGGAUGAGUGGAGCUUGCUCCAUGAUUCAGCGGCGGACGGGUGAGUAAUGCCUAGGAAUCUGCCUGGUAGUGGGGGGACAACGUUUCGAAAGGAACGCUAAUACCGCAUACGUCCUACGGGAGAAAGUGGGGGAUCUUCGGACCUCACGCUAUCAGAUGAGCCUAGGUCGGAUUAGCUAGUUGGUGAGGUAAAGGCUCACCAAGGCGACGAUCCGUAACUGGUCUGAGAGGAUGAUCAGUCACACUGGAACUGAGACACGGUCCAGACUCCUACGGGAGGCAGCAGUGGGGAAUAUUGGACAAUGGGCGAAAGGCCUGAUCCAGCCAUGCCGCGUGUGUGAAGAAGGGUCUUCGGAUUGUAAAGGCACUUUAAGUUGGGAGGAAGGGCAGUAAGUUAAUACCUUGCUGUUUUGACGUUACCAACAGAAUAAGCACCGGCUAACUUCGUGCCAGCAG
rnacentral:rRNA from 1 species